CCAAGUUGGUGAUGAUGUUGAUAAAAACUGAUGCUUCCUAUGUGCUGGGCCCUCUUCUAAACACUUACACACGUUAACAGAUCUAAUCUUUAUAGCAAUGGCAUAGCUAGGCCCUGCAGUAACCAUCUUCCCGGUUUUACAAAUAAGGAACCCUGGGCUUCAGGAGGGUGACCUGCACUUGGUCACACAGUUGGGCAGUGGAAGAGGGGAUUUGAGUCUAGGCAGCCUGGCUCAAGUCCCUGCUGCAGGAUUCUAUAUCUGCACAAACAAAUGUCUGUUUUGCAAGCAACUUGUUAGCAACUUUCCUCUCCUCACCAACUAGUAAUGUGACCUACAGCAUUAACCACAUCCUUAUGGUCAGCACGGAUUUACAGUGAAAAGAAGAGAUUGGACCUGGAAAAGAAACUUUAUGAACAUAAUCAAUCUGACAUAUGCAGGUAGUGAUCUCAGCUGGUCUUGAACCGCAAACUGGCUCCUGGCUGCAGCUCCAGCCUCAGUUCAGAUCUUUUGUU